rnacentral:rRNA from 1 species
AGCGAACGCUGGCGGCAGGCCUAACACAUGCAAGUCGAACGAACCUUUCGGGGUUAGUGGCGGACGGGUGAGUAACACGUGGGAACGUGCCUUUAGGUUCGGAAUAACUCAGGGAAACUUGUGCUAAUACCGAAUGUGCCCUUCGGGGGAAAGAUUAAUCGCCUUUAGAGCGGCCCGCGUCUGAUUAGCUAGUUGGUUGAGGUAAUGGCCCACCAAGGCGACGAUCAGUAGCUGGUCUGAGAGGAUGAUCAGCCACAUUGGGACUGAGACACGGCCCAAACUCCUACGGGAGGCAGCAGUGGGGAAUCUUGCGCAAUGGGCGAAAGCCUGACGCAGCCAUGCCGCGUGAAUGAUGAAGGUCUUAGGAUUGUAAAAUUCUUUCACCGGGGACGAUAAUGACGGUACCCGGAGAAGAAGCCCCGGCUAACUUCGU